rnacentral:rRNA from 1 species
AUAACGACUCUCGGCAACGGAUAUCUCGGCUCUCGCAUCGAUGAAGAACGUAGCGAAAUGCGAUACUUGGUGUGAAUUGCAGAAUCCCGUGAACCAUCGAGUCUUUGAACGCAAGUUGCGCCCGAAGCCAGUAGGCCGAGGGCACGCCUGGCUGGGUAUCUCACA